GAAUGGCCAUUCUUAGUUGGUGGAGCAAUUUGUCUGGUUAAUUCCCAUAACGAACGAGACUCUGGCAUGCUAACUAGUUUUGCGACCCCUGAGCGGUUGAAGUCCAACUUCAUAGAAGGCCAAGUGGCAUUCAGCCACCUGAGAUUGAGCAAUAACAGGUCUGUGAU
rnacentral:ncRNA from 1 species